rnacentral:rRNA from 1 species
AUGCGGUCUCUCUUUGAUCUUUGCUGGCCACAAAUAGGUCGAUCGAUCGGCCGGGACCAUGAACAUGCAUAUACUACUACAAACUAUGAAAGCAGGCAUGCACGUAUUGCUUUCUCCAUCCCGAUCUCAAACGCGAUUUCGAUGUCGAUCUUUUACAAUUACAAUUACUGGUUACUUGCGUGGACUGUUGUUGGAACACUAGGAGCUCAGCUUCUACACGCGUAUUUCGCUGAGCCCUUGCAUGCAAGCCUAGGUACGUACGUACUCCCUCCAUCCCAUAAUAUAAAAACGUUUUUGACACUAAUAUAG